rnacentral:lncRNA from 1 species
UUGGAGUUCUAGCUCACCUUUCUGGUGUUGUUCUUGUACUCAUGUGUUUAAUCUAGUUCUGCCACUUCUUCUUGAACUUCUUGUUAGAUUUCAAGUCUGUAUUUUGUGUCCGUGACAGUUUGUCGAGACUACACUAACUUGAGAUAUCAGAGCUCGUUCUUUCUUAGUAGAGUGUGGAUUACCCCUCUACUUGAAAGUAUACUAGCAUUUUAUAGAGGUUGCGGAUUACCCUCCUCUAAACUGAUACUUCUUCUGUUACAAUAUUGGAGUCUUAUUCUUCUUGGAGAGAGUGGAUUACCCCUCUUCUUGAAAUUCUUAAGGCGUUUUAUAGUUUGUGGACCACCCUCCUAUAAACCAAUAUUGCCUCUUGUAG